GGGCAGAAUGCGGAAGUUUGAGUAAUAUUAGAGAGGAAGAAGGCUUCGAGUUAAGACUGAACUUUACAGCUGGAAACUUUAUCUUCGUCCUCAGCGGCAGAAAACUGAACGCUCCAUCAUGGCUGAACAAGUUUAUACUCCCACCACGACCCCAAACCCCGGGAAGAGCUUCUGCCUGAUCCCUUCGGCCCACCUGGACAGAAACCGCUUUAUCCUGAAAGUCGUUGAAGUGGUGCUGUCCUUCAUUGCCUUCGUCCUGGAGGAGACGGUGGACAGCU